rnacentral:tRNA from 1 species
CGGAGCGUAGCGCAGUCCGGUAGCGCACCUCGUUCGGGACGAGGGGGUCGGAGGUUCGAAUCCUCUCGCUCCGACCA